rnacentral:rRNA from 1 species
GGCGGUCAUAGCGUGGGGGAAACGCCCGGUCCCAUUCCGAACCCGGAAGCUAAGACCCACAGCGCCGAUGGUACUGC